UAUGUACAUAUAGCAAAAUAACGAGUCGAAAAACUAUUGAGAAUCAUAGCGAUCUCAACAAACAUGGGACAUAGUUCUCGACUCAAGAAAAUAUUAAUUCUCUAAUCGAAUUGUAAUGUUGAUCUCUAGUGGGUUUCGAAUGUGAAUUUCAAACUGCUGUUUUGCUUUAUUAAAUAAAACGCUUUGUUUGUAAAAUUUGUAUUAAAUGUAUUCGCAAUAAAAUAAUAAUGAAAUAUUUGAGCU